AACUUCAAGUAAAAGUGACAAGUUCACUAAAGCAAUAAGAAAGAAAGCCCAAUUAGUGAAACCCCAAGUUAAAUACUUAGAUUAUACUAUAAGUCAAGGUCACAGAGCUAUAGGACAUGAGAAAAAGGAAGUGACAGGUGUGUGCCGAGUUGCAGAACAAA